GCCUAAUACAUGCAAGUCGAGCGAACGGACGAGAAGCUUGCUUCUCUGAUGUUAGCGGCGGACGGGUGAGUAACACGUGGAUAACCUACCUAUAAGACUGGGAUAACUUCGGGAAACCGGAGCUAAUACCGGAUAAUAUUUUGAACCGCAUGGUUCAAAAGUGAAAGACGGUCUUGCUGUCACUUAUAGAUGGAUCCGCGCUGCAUUAGCUAGUUGGUAAGGUAACGGCUUACCAAGGCAACGAUGCAUAGCCGACCUGAGAGGGUGAUCGGCCACACUGGAACUGAGACACGGUCCAGACUCCUACGGGAGGCAGCAGUAGGGAAUCUUCCGCAAUGGGCGAAAGCCUGACGGAGCAACGCCGCGUGAGUGAUGAAGGUCUUCGGAUCGUAAAACUCUGUUAUUAGGGAAGAACAUAUGUGUAAGUAACUGUGCACAUCUUGACGGUACCUAAUCAGAAAGCCACGGCUAACUACGUGCCAGCAGCCGCGGUAAUACGUAGGUGGCAAGCGUUAUCCGGAAUUAUUGGGCGUAAAGCGCGCGUAGGCGGUUUUUUAAGUCUGAUGUGAAAGCCCACGGCUCAACCGUGGAGGGUCAUUGGAAACUGGAAAACUUGAGUGCAGAAGAGGAAAGUGGAAUUCCAUGUGUAGCGGUGAAAUGCGCAGAGAUAUGGAGGAACACCAGUGGCGAAGGCGACUUUCUGGUCUGUAACUGACGCUGAUGUGCGAAAGCGUGGGGAUCAAACAGGAUUAGAUACCCUGGUAGUCCACGCCGUAAACGAUGAGUGCUAAGUGUUAGGGGGUUUCCGCCCCUUAGUGCUGCAGCUAACGCAUUAAGCACUCCGCCUGGGGAGUACGACCGCAAGGUUGAAACUCAAAGGAAUUGACGGGGACCCGCACAAGCGGUGGAGCAUGUGGUUUAAUUCGAAGCAACGCGAAGAACCUUACCAAAUCUUGACAUCCUUUGACAACUCUAGAGAUAGAGCUUUCCCCUUCGGGGGACAAAGUGACAGGUGGUGCAUGGUUGUCGUCAGCUCGUGUCGUGAGAUGUUGGGUUAAGUCCCGCAACGAGCGCAACCCUUAAGCUUAGUUGCCAUCAUUAAGUUGGGCACUCUAAGUUGACUGCCGGUGACAAACCGGAGGAAGGUGGGGAUGACGUCAAAUCAUCAUGCCCCUUAUGAUUUGGGCUACACACGUGCUACAAUGGACAAUACAAAGGGCAGCGAAACCGCGAGGUCAAGCAAAUCCCAUAAAGUUGUUCUCAGUUCGGAUUGUAGUCUGCAACUCGACUACAUGAAGCUGGAAUCGCUAGUAAUCGUAGAUCAGCAUGCUACGGUGAAUACGUUCCCGGGUCUUGUACACACCGCCCGUCACACCACGAGAGUUUGUAACACCCGAAGCCGGUGGAGUAACCUUUUAGGAGCUAGCCGUCGAAGGUGGGACAAAUGAUUGGGGUGAAGUCGUAACAAGGUAGCCGUAUCGGAAGGUGCGGCUGGAUCACCUCCUUUCU
rnacentral:rRNA from 1 species